UGACAAUGGUCCUGUCCUUUGAACUUGGC
rnacentral:piRNA from 1 species